UACGUAGGGUGCAAGCGUUGUCCGGAAUUAUUGGGCGUAAAGAGCUCGUAGGCGGUUUGUCGCGUCUGCUGUGAAAACCCGAGGCUCAACCUCAGGCCUGCAGUCGAUACGAGCAGACUAGAGUGUUGCAGGGGAGACUGGAAUUCCUGGUGUAGCGGUGAAAUGCGCAGAUAUCAGGAGGAACACCGGUGGCGAAGGCGGGUCUCUGGGCAACAACUGACGCUGGAGGAGCGAAAGCGUGGGGAGCGAACAGG
rnacentral:rRNA from 1 species